rnacentral:rRNA from 1 species
AACGGCGGCCGUAACAAUAACGGUCCUAAGGUAGCGAAAUUCCUUGUCGGGUAAGUUCCGACCUGCACGAAUGGCGUAACGACUUCCCCGCUGUCUCCAACAUCGACUCAGCGAAAUUGAAUUGCCUGUCAAGAUGCAGGCUUCCCGCGGUUAGACGGAAAGACCCCGUGCACCUUUACUACAGCUUCACACUGGCAUCAGGCCAAGCAUGUGCAGGAUAGGUGGUAGGCUUCGAAACCGGGACGCCAGUCUCGGUGGAGCCUCCCUUGAGAUACCACCCUUGCAUUGCUUGAUGUCUAACCGCGAUCCCUUAUCGGGUUCCGGGACCCUGUGUGGCGGGUAGUUUGACUGGGGCGGUCGCCUCCUAAAGCGUAACGGAGGCGCGCGAAGGUUGGCUCAGAGCGGUCGGAAAUCGCUCGUUGAGUGCAAUGGCAGAAGCCAGCCUGACUGCGAGACUGACAAGUCGAGCAGAGUCGAAAGACGGCCAUAGUGAUCCGGUGGUCCCGAGUGGAAGGGCCAUCGCUCAACGGAUAAAAGGUACGCCGGGGAUAACAGGCUGAUACUGCCCAAGAGUCCAUAUCGACGGCAGUGUUUGGCACCUCGAUGUCGGCUCAUCUCAUCCUGGGGCUGGAGCAGGUCCCAAGGGUACGGCUGUUCGCCGUUUAAAGAGGUACGUGAGCUGGGUUUAGAACGUCGUGAGACAGUUCGGUCCCUAUCUGCCGUGGGUGUAGGAUACUUGAGAGGAGUUGCCCCUAGUACGAGAGGACCGGGGUGAACGAUCCACUGGUGGACCUGUUGUUGCGCCAGCAGCAGUGCAGGGUAGCUAUGAUCGGAAAGGAUAACCGCUGAAGGCAUCUAAGCGGGAAGCCCCCCUCAAAACAAGGUAUCCCCGAGGGCCGAGAUAGACCAUCUCGUCGAUAGGCCGGAGAUGUAAGCGCAGCAAUGCGUUCAGUUGACCGGUACUAAUUGCCCGAUAGGCUUGAUUUG